CCCGCUGAAUUUAAGCAUAUAACUAAGCGGAGGGAAAGAAACUAACGAGGAUUCCUCUAGUAACGGCGAGUGAAUGGGGAAAAGCCCAGCCCUGAAUCCAUUGCCCACUGGUCGCUUGGAAUUGUAGCGUAUAGGUGCGGUUGUCCGUUUGUUUCGCGCACCCAAAGUCCCCUUGAGUGGGGCUAUAGUCCAAAGAAGGUGCUAGACCUGUACGGGUGGCGAGACGAUCGGUUGGUUGCUCCUUGGAGUCGGGUUGCCUGGGAUCGCAGCCCAAAGUUGGUGGUAGACCUCAUCUAAGGCUAAAUAUGGCCAUGAAACCGAUAGCAAACAAGUACCGUGAGGGAAAGUUGCAAAGAACUUUGAAGAGAGAGUUCAAGAGGGCGUGAAACCGCUGAGAUUGAAACGGAUAGAGUUGACUUAACUCGGCUGCAUUCAUCCGGUCGGUCUAGCGGUCCAAUGGUUUCGACUUCCUCGAAGAGGGCGAAGCCGUCGGCAACUGUUCGGCAUUUGAUCGGUGUAUUUGCGGCUGGUAUGCGCUGAGAGCUUUGCGAUCGCGUGUUGACAAACGUGCAGUGGACCAUUCCUUCCGGGCGUGGAAACCUUCGCGCUUUGAGACAUGUCGGUUGUAAGGUUUUGAAGAUGGCGUCUCCGCUAUGGUGCGUCAGCUUUUUCGAGCUGUUGUGGCUGCUGGAUGGUCGCAUGCGACUAUCUGCAGUCAUCGAUGGUGCGAGAUGAGUGUGGACGCGGCGAGGCGUUGAUCUCGGUGUGAACGUCGACCACCUAUCCGACCCGUCUUGAAACACGG
rfam:Toxocara canis scaffold139, whole genome shotgun sequence.